UGGUGCCAGCAGCCGCGGUAGUUCCAGCUCCAAUAGCGUAUAUUAAAGUUGUUGCAGUUAAAAAGCUCGUAGUUGAAUUUCGGGAUUCUACCCUCGGUCGGGCUACCAAGUCUGUACUGGUGUGUAGAAUUUCUACCUUCUGGGGAACUAUCAUGUUAUUAAUUUAGCGUGGUAGGAAACCAGGACCUUUACCUUGAAAAAAUUAGAGUGUUCAAAGCAGGCUUAUGUCUGAAUACAUUAGCAUGGAACAAUAGAAUAGGACGGUGGUCCUGUUUUGUUGGUUUCUGAAUCACCGUAAUGAUUAAUAGGGAUAGUUGGGGGCAUUAGUAUUCAAUUGUCAGAGGUGAAAUUCUUGGAUUUAUUGAAGACUAACUUCUGCGAAAGCAUUUGCCAAGGAUGUUUUCAUUAAUCAAGAACGAAGGUUAGGGGGUCGAAGACGAUCAGAUACCGUCGUAGUCUUAACCAUAAACUAUGCCGACUAGGGA
rnacentral:rRNA from 1 species